AUGUGGAGACAUCAUCUAGACUUUUUGGAAGUACGGUUAAGUUGCCAAGAGCUUCAAAUAGCUCAUAGAGAUUUUAGCAACAUUGUUGGCUCUGUAGUCUGCAAAGGAACAAUCAAGGAUGGGCCUGAGGUUUCUAUUAUACCAUUAUGUGCCCGUGAAGAUCAUUGGACUAGCCAAUAUGAACUUUUAUACCAAAAGAAGGUUAUUGAUCUGGCAACGUUAAAGCAUGAGAACAUAGCAAAGUUUAUGGGUUAUUGCAGAGAAAGUGACCCAUUUUACAGGAUGGUUGUCUUUGAAUGCACAUCAAAUGGGACCCUAUAUGAGCACCUACACCAUGGGAAAGCAGCUCAAUUAUCUUGGGACAGACGAAUGAAAAUAGCCACCGGUAUUGCCAAAGGUUUAAGGUAUUUGCACAGUGAGCUGCAACCUCCAUCCACUAUAUCGAAGCUGAACUCCAAGUCAGUUUAUGUUACAGAAGAUUUUACUCCCAAGCUGGUUGAUUUUGAAUGCUGGAAAACAAUGUUUUCCAAGCAUUCGAAGACGCUCGGCCACUCAAAUAAUGAAUCCUCUUUCCCUGGUCACCUGGACUUUUUGAAGGACAAGCCUAGUGAAGUCCAAUGCAAUUCAUUUGCUUUUGGAGUGAUUUUGCUGGAGAUCAUUAGUGGACGGCUUCCUUACUGCAAGGACAAUGGAUAUUUGGUUCGCUGGGCUAUCAAGUACCUCCAGCAGCCCAAGGAGAUCAGUAAGCUGGUCGACCCGGAGCUGACCAACGUGAGACCUGAUCACCUUGCUGUGAUCUGCGGUGUGGUGAGACGGUGCCUCGAACCCCUCCGUUCCCAGAGACCAUCAUUGCAGACCAUCGCAGGGGAUCUAGAGAAUGGCAUUUGCCUAUCCUCAACUCUAAUGGCCGGCAAACACGGAGGCGUCACCACUGCCCCCCAUCACAUUCACCACACAAACUGUCCAACACAAUCAAACGCAGAACAUGGUGCAACAUCAUGUCAGGAAGGGGACAGCACUGCAUCUCUGAGCCCCCACACGACUAAGCCACACGGAAUUGCAUGGCGGCCAAGCGUUCUGCGAUCUGAGAUAAACCCAAAACGCCGGCUCGCCAACUUUAGCAAGCGAUUUAUAAAUAGAGCCAAGGAGGUGGAGAAGGCAGCAUGCAAGAAAUCAGUAUUAGCUUUGACGAAAAUAUACAGUAGAUCCAGGUGA
rnacentral:rRNA from 1 species